CCUAAACAAGAAAGGACUUGAUACAGAAAUCUCUCCAAUCUGAAUACAGCACUUUCUUUACUACAGCUGAACUGUCUUCUGGAGAGAAUGAAAAGAAUGGAGUGGAAGUGUGGAAAGAGUGGAAAAGGCUGGAUUGUGCUCAAUCAUGAAGCAGCACCAGGCUGAUAUAGGAUGCCACUGCCUAUUAUAUCUCUGGGCAGCACCAGUCUGAGGGUGUUGAGAAAGAAACAUAGUAAGAUUAUGCCAAAGCCACUCCUGUUUAUACAGAAAAAGGAUUGUUUUGUGCCUUAUUUUUUUUGU